GAUGAACGCUGGCGGCGUGCUUAACACAUGCAAGUCGAACGGAAAGGCCCAAGCUUGCUUGGGCACUCGAGUGGCGAACGGGUGAGUAACACGUGGGUGAUCUGCCCUGCACUUCGGGAUAAGCCUGGGAAACUGGGUCUAAUACCGGAUAGGACCACAUUUUGGAUGGUGUGGUGGAAAGUUUUUCGGUGUGGGAUGAGCUCGCGGCCUAUCAGCUUGUUGGUGGGGUAAUGGCCUACCAAGGCGUCGACGGGUAGCCGGCCUGAGAGGGUGUACGGCCACAUUGGGACUGAGAUACGGCCCAGACUCCUACGGGAGGCAGCAGUGGGGAAUAUUGCACAAUGGGCGCAAGCCUGAUGCAGCGACGCCGCGUGGGGGAUGACGGCCUUCGGGUUGUAAACUCCUUUCGCUAGGGACGAAGCGCAAGUGACGGUACCUGGAGAAGAAGCACCGGCUAACUACGUG
rnacentral:rRNA from 1 species